AAGAAUUAAAGGCAUGCACUAUUAUAUUGGCCACAUUGCUUACUUAAAAAAAAAACCCUGGGGCUUCUGGGUAGCUCAGUGGAUUGAGAGCCAGGCCUAGAGAGGGGAGGUCCUGGGUUCAAAUAUGACCUCAGCCACUUCCCAGCUGUGUGACCCUGGGCAAGUCAGUUGAUCCCCAUUGCCUAGCCCUUACCACUCUUCCAAGAUGGAAGGUAAGGGUUUAAAAAAAUAUUUUUAAAAACCCAUAACUUAAACUCUAUGCUAUUUUCAAAAUUCUUGUUUGCUCUUCCUUUUGAACUUUUGUUCUUUUCUGGGCAUUUUAAUAAAUGUUAUGAUUAAAUAACAUGAUGCUUUUUUGGAAAAGAAAGUGGAUCACUGUUAGUCAUCCCCUAUACACCCACAAUUAACCAAGAAAAAGAAAAAAAUGCUUGUAAUAAAUAAGCUUAGCCAGGCAAAACAAAUCCACACAGUAACUAUGACCAAAAAUGUAUGUCUUUGCACCUUGUGUCUCUUACCUUUCCAGCAGGAGGUGGGUUCUCCCAAGAGAAGGGAAAUGACUUGACUAAGGUCACAUAGGUAGCAAGUAACAAGGCUAAGAUUCUAUACCAGGUCCUAUGGCUCCAAAUUCAAAUUCUUUAGGACUUUACAGUUAAUCAGUUAGGAGUCUCUUGCAAUAGACAAUGGGGGAACCAUUGAGGGUUUCUUGGUACAGGGAUCGAGUAGUAAAUGAGAAAAAAAAAAAGGAGAGAUUAAGAUCUCAAUAGACUGAAUAUCAAGCACAGAGGAGCAGUUUGGCAACUGGCACCUUACCUCCAUGACCUCGAAGCCCCGAAAGGCCUACUUGCCUGUCCCAACCCUAUGUUUCCUGACCGUGGCUAUGCCACCAUUUUCUCCUAGCUCAUGGACUCCAGUGUUAUGCGUGCAAUAUUGUGGUUGGCACCCAGCACAUUGACCCGGGUUGCUCCAAGCCAGAGAUUGUCACCUGUUCCGAAUCACACCAGGGCUUCAAGCACAAAUUCUGCAUAAAAACUGAAAGUGUGGUCUUGGGAAUCCUGCUCUCUAGUGGCUGUGCCACCUCUAGACACUGCCAACAGCAGGAACUACCUGGGGUGCAUAUCCGCUGCUGCCAGACUGACCUCUGCAAUGGCUCCUUGAGGGCUGCCCAGGCCCUUGGCCUGUUCUCAGGGGGCACCAUCCUCAUACCCUGUCUCCUUAUGGCUUUCUUCCUUCUCUAAGACUAUUAAAGUCAACCUGAGAGACUCCAGGAAAAUACUCUCUUGGGUGGAUAUUGCGAGCAUCAAGUCAAGCCAAGUUUGCCAUGUUCUCAAAUGUCUUUAUGGACAAAACCUCUACUUCCUCAUUCCCUUCCAGAAUUUCUGAACUUAACCAAAAUGGUGGGUGACUCCU
rnacentral:lncRNA from 1 species